rnacentral:rRNA from 1 species
GACGAACGCUGGCGGCGUGCCUAAUACAUGCAAGUAGAACGCUGAAGAGAGGAGCUUGCUCUUCUUGGAUGAGUUGCGAACGGGUGAGUAACGCGUAGGUAACCUGCCUGGUAGCGGGGGAUAACUAUUGGAAACGAUAGCUAAUACCGCAUAAAAUUGAUUAUUGCAUGAUAAUUAAUUGAAAGAUGCAACUGCAUCACUACCAGAUGGACCUGCGUUGUAUUAGCUAGUUGGUGAGGUAACGGCUCACCAAGGCGACGAUACAUGGCCGACCUGAGAGGGUGAUCGGCCACACUGGGACUGAGACACGGCCCAGACUCCUACGGGAGGCAGCAGUAGGGAAUCUUCGGCAAUGGGGGGAACCCUGACCGAGCAACGCCGCGUGAGUGAAGAAGGUUUUCGGAUCGUAAAGCUCUGUUGUAAGAGAAGAACGGGUGUGAGAGUGGAAAGUUCACACUGUGACGGUAUCUUACCAGAAAGGGACGGCUAACUACGUG